UACGUAGGCAGCAAGCGUUGUUCGGAAUUACUGGGCGUAAAGAGUGCGUAGGUGGUUGGCUAAGUUUGGUGUGAAAUCUCCCGGCUCAACUGGGAGGGUGCGCCGAAAACUGGCUGGCUAGAGUGUGGGAUAGGGAAGCGGAAUUCCUGGUGUAGCGGUGAAAUGCGUAGAUAUCAGGAGGAACGCCUGCGGUGUAGACGGCUUCCUGGACCAUGACUGACACUGAGGCACGAAAGCGUGGGUAGCAAACAGG
rnacentral:rRNA from 1 species